rnacentral:RNase_P_RNA from 1 species
GCAGCAUGCGAGUGAGGGUCGCCGGUGGGCAGGUUCGCCUGGACCACCGGAGGAAAGUCCGAGCUCCACAGGGCAGGGUGCCGGGUAACGCCCGGGCGGCGCGAGCCGACGGAAAGUGCAACAGAAAGCAAACCGCCGAUGGCUCCCUCGGGAGCACAGGCAAGGGUGAAAGGGUGCGGUAAGAGCGCACCGGGCCGCUGGUGACAGGGGCCGCAUGGCAAACCCCACCCGGAGCAAGGCCAAGCAGGGACGACGGAGCGGCCCGCUCCAUCUGAGUCCCGGGUCGGCUGCUCGAGCGGCGUGGCAACACGUCGCCCAGAGAAAUGACACUCACCCGCCUUCGGGCGGGGACAGAACUCGGCUUAAUCGCAUGCGGCCCCU